rnacentral:lncRNA from 1 species
CGGAAUCGCGUUUCUCUGCUGGCGUUUAAGCGGAGCGGCAGCCGAAUCCAAAUCGUCCGAGCCGGAGAGUCCCGAAACGGUGGGGGUGGGGGCCGUUUCGGGUGUUUGAACGACGGUGUUGAGAAAAGGCAUGAAAAAAUCGGCGGAGGAAGAAUCAAGCGGCUCCGGGAUGUUUCCGGAGAGGGACUUCUGGAGCGCCAUGGUGAGGGUUUUGGUGUCGCGGGAAAAGGCGUCGGAGAUCCAGGAGUCGGCGAAGGUGUUGGGCCUGAAAGCCCACGGCUCCAUCAUGCUCGCAACGUUCUCUGACGACGCCAUUAAGCAGCUCAAUCAACUAAAAAUUCAAAAUUUAAACUGAAAAUUUGAAUUUGAGGAACUUGGUUUUUGUGAAAUCAAUCGGAUUUCAG